rnacentral:rRNA from 1 species
UACGAAGGGUGCAAGCGUUAAUCGGAAUUACUGGGCGUAAAGGGUGCGUAGGCGGUUCGUUAAGUCUGUCGUGAAAUCCCCGGGCUCAACCUGGGAAUGGCGAUGGAUACUGGCGAGCUAGAGUGUGUCAGAGGAUGGUGGAAUUCCCGGUGUAGCGGUGAAAUGCGUAGAGAUCGGGAGGAACAUCAGUGGCGAAGGCGGCCAUCUGGGACAACACUGACGCUGAAGCACGAAAGCGUGGGUAGCAAACAGG